GGAAAGAUUUUUUUAUUUGUAGCUGAAGAGUCAUCCCGAUUUUAUCGGGAGAAAGCGUGUAUAGGGUCAAACUUAUCGAGGGUUCGAAUCCCUCACUCUCCU
rnacentral:tRNA from 1 species